rnacentral:rRNA from 1 species
UGUAAACAAUUACAUAGUGAAACUGCGAAUGGCUCAUUAUAUAAGUUAUCGUUUAUUUGAUAGUUCCUUACUACUUGGAUAACCGUGGUAAUUCUAGAGCUAAUACAUGCUAAAAACCCCGACUUCGGAAGGGGUGUAUUUAUUAGAUUAAAAACCAAUGCCCUUCGGGGCUCACUGGUGAUUCAUAAUAACUUCUCGAAUCGCAUGGCCUUGCGCCGGCGAUGGUUCAUUCAAAUUUCUUCCCUAUCAACUUUCGAUGCUAGAGUAGUGUUCUAGCAUGGUUACAACGGGUAACGGAGGGUUAGGGCUCGACCCCGGAGAAGGAGCCUGAGAAACGGCUACUACAUCCAAGGAAGGCAGCAGGCGCGCAAAUUACCCAAUCCCGACACGGGGAGGUAGUGACGAUAAAUACUGAUACAGGGCUCUUUUGGGUCUUGUAAUUGGAAUGAGUACAAUUUAAAUCCCUUAACGAGGAACAAUUGGAGGGCAAGUCUGGUGCCAGCAGCCGCGGUAAUUCCAGCUCCAAUAGCGUAUAUUAAAGUUGUUGUGGUUAAAAAGCUCGUAGUAGAACCUUGGGCCUGGCUGGCCGGUCCGCCUCACCGCGUGCACUGGUCCGGCCGGGCCUUUCCCUCUGUGGAACCGCAUGCCCUUCACUGGGUGUGCCGGGGAAACAGGACUUUUACUUUGAAAAAAUUAGAGUGCUCCAGGCAGGCCUUUGCUCGAAUACAUUAGCAUGGAAUAAUAGAAUAGGACGUGUGGUUCUAUUUUGUUGGUUUCUAGGACCGCCGUAAUGAUUAAUAGGGACAGUCGGGGGCAUCAGUAUUCAAUUGUCAGAGGUGAAAUUCUUGGAUUUAUUGAAGACUAACUACUGCGAAAGCAUUUGCCAAGGAUGUUUUCAUUUAUCAGGAACGAAAGUUAGGGGAUCGAAGACGAUCAGAUACCGUCGUAGUCUUAACCAUAAACUAUGCCGACUAGGGAUCGGACGAUGUUAUUUUUUGACUCGUUCGGCACCUUACGAGAAAUCAAAGUGCUUGGGCUCCAGGGGGAGUAUGGUCGCAAGGCUGAAACUUAAAGAAAUUGACGGAAGGGCACCACCAGGGGUGGAGCCUGCGGCUUAAUUUGACUCAACACGGGGAAACUCACCAGGUCCAGACACAAUGAGGAUUGACAGAUUGAGAGCUCUUUCUUGAUUUUGUGGGUGGUGGUGCAUGGCCGUUCUUAGUUGGUGGAGUGAUUUGUCUGCUUAAUUGCGAUAACGAACGAGACCUUAACCUGCUAAAUAGCCCGUAUUGCUUUGGCAGUACGCCGGCUUCUUAGAGGGACUCUCG